CAUUGGUUAUAAAGUUGUCUCUAAAUUCACGUAUCUUUCCGCACUCCAUCACAUAGUGACGGAGGGUGUGCGAAUAAUUUUGUUGACACAGUUUACAUUUGGUCAGGUCUACAUCAGCAGACUUGUUAGUUAGACUACAUUCUUGUUAGGUAAUCUUCCAUUUCUCUCUUCCAUAGUAAGUGCUGUAUCUAUCCUGACUUCCUGUGCUUUACUUUGGUGUAUUUUCUUUGUAUCAUCCUUUCUGAAUUUUGAAACCAGUAUAGACUACAGCAUUUUUCUUGGCCUCUGUAUUCCCAGAACAUUUUAACUACAGUAUUUCUUUUAACAAACAUUUAAAACUAUACAAAACAUCCCACAUUUUACUAUUCCUCUAUCGUUUCCCUGCUGAAUGCUACGCGUCUUUUUUUCUUUCUUUCAACUGCCUGAAACGCUUUGCGUAAUAGUGGCUUUAGGCAUUGUAUGUACUAGCUCUAUCUAUUAAUCCAACAAACUUUGUAAAAUCUCUUUAUGUAUGUACCUUACCUAAAUAAACAUUUAUUUAUUUAUUUAUUUAUUAUUUAUUAUAAUAGAUUGAGCUAAACGAAGUUCACAAUACAGUGAUUAUAUAAUUAAAUAGAAGCACAUGUAUAAAUUAAUAGUACUCUUAAUUAAGAGUUUAGAUUUAAUUUUCUAAUACUUUUAAGCAAUUAUUAAUUUCACUGUACACUCUCCUGUUGAUCCAUUUGAGUUGAAUGUACUAAUGUCAACAGUUGUUUUCCUCUUCUCAUUCUUUUGCCUUCAGGCUUCUUCAUUGCAUCAUAUGGCUAUUUUAAUAAUUUUUUCACUACUCGCAUGAGGGCCUCUAGUGUGAUGCAUAACCCAACUUUAUGUAUCAUCAGCUAAUGUUGACUAACAUGCUGUAACCAAAUUUAAUCAAUUAUCCAAAUUAAAUUAAACAUUAAUAAUUCCAAUUUUUGACAAGAUAAAGCUAACUUACAUAAACGAUCUGACCUUUGCCACACCUUAAUGCCAUCAUGAACCUACUUUACCAUCAUUCAUCAUCUUCAAAAAUGUUUCUUCAAGUUUCAUCCUCUUCAAAUAUUUUUUCUUGACCCACCUUACUACUAUGCUGUAUUCCUGCCAACCUAUAAUACUUACACUAUGCCUGUGCUGGAAGUGGUAUACUCUCACAUAAUACUUUCUACACAUCCAAAGUAACAUUUGUAUUUUCCAUCAUUUUCUCCCUAGCACAGCUAUCUCCCCCACACAUAGUUUACAUUUGCACAUUACAGGGACUGACACUAAAUACUGUACCGUAUAUAAAUUACAUGGCCUUUUCCAAUAUUUCAGCAACCAGUUCAGGCUAGUGUUCCAUCCCAGUGUUUAAGUAUAAUGUGUUGGCUAAAGUGAAAUCUAGCGCUCGACUCUUCCACCUUUGGAAGGCCAUCAUCUGUUUUUCCGUCAUACAUCUUUAACUCUCUGUGCACUAGAACUUGAUUGUAACUUUCUGUAGCUCAUUUUUUGUUGUCUGCUGUUAACACUGAGUCAGCAGCAAAAGGAUGUGCCACAUCAGACCAUGUGCCAGUUUUUCCUAUCCCUCCCCAUUUAUGACUUCCACUUUCUCUGAUUAAUUUACCCAUGUAUUUUAUGUUGAAAACCCAUGGGGACAUUUGACCUGGUUGUUUGACUCCAACACUUGUUUUAUUUCAAAAAUCACUCGGUCUUCUAUUAAUUUACGUAAAUAAGUAUUUUUCAAAACCUCUUGUAAGGCAGUCCAAUCAAAAUAAAACAAAUUAACUACCAUUGGGGCAUAGACUACAACCCCAAAGCAAGUACAGUACUUGGCACAGCAAGAGGAUGGAGUUACACAUGACUACUCUACAUAAACAUGACUGCCCUAUGCAGAUAGGGAAGAAAUCUGUUUAAGUUACAAAAUGAGAUUUCUCAGACAUUAAGCAAGUGUAAAUCAUCUGCCACUUGGCCAAAAACAUUAGUAGCUGUUUGUAUAGGCCAGGGCUAUAUUCAUGCCAGUAUGGCAGUGUAUUACAAGCUAGUGUAUACAUUACUGAAGACAUCUAAUUGUUCGUGUUGGCUUUGGCUUGUAGAUUGUCAAAAGAUAUUUUGUAGGCAUACUAACUAAUACAUUUAUUUCUUUGCUAACCCUCCAGUACUUCACCUUGUCUGGUCUUUACUGGUCAGAUUAGGUCUGACAAGGCCAUAUUAGACCAGACUAGGUCAGACUAGGCAAUCACGAUGAUCGUAUUACUCACUGGGGACACGAGCCCCUUUGUCAGUUAUCUUUCACUGAGAAUUUUAUUACAAAAGUGUUCAUCUACCAAAACAACACUGACAACUAGACAAUUUCACGUUGCUGAACGUCCCGUUGGACAUCCCAUCCGACCACCAGGUGGCACCCAGCUCACAUCUUAGAUUGGCAAUGCUCCUACCUUUUACACUCCACCUUAGGGCCUGUUCAGGUGUUGUACAGUACACUAUUAAUACUUAAUGAUUGUGUACAGUAUGCUGUUCACAAUGUGUCUGGAUGUGAUUAUCCACCUUAGCUUGGGUUUCCUUGCUCUAAUUUCUGGCACUGUAAGAGGUGAAUGCUGUCAGUUAGCAAUCUUCUCUGAAGAAUUCACUCCUUAUUGUACUUUGGAACUCUGUUGCAGAGGAUCUAGUGUAGUUAGUGGUUAUUAUCUGGUUUGCACUGAGGCUACUGAUAUAUUGCCUAUUCAUGGCUUUUUCCACCAUCCCUCAUCUUCCAGUGACAGGGUUUUGUUUGUCUGCUGAAUCUUGGUAUCUGCUGUUUCCUAGCUCAGCCACUUGCUUGGGUUUCAUUAUCUAAAACAGCUUGUUGAUACGCUCUUUGCACUCAAGGCCAGUGUUAACUACUUGGAUUAUGAAGUCUCCCCCCACUAUGUUUUUAGCCUGCCUGCUACUUGCAGCUUUUAUAGAAGUUUCACCUCAUUAUUUGCUUUGCUGGUCCUAUUGCAUGACUGAGUUGCCUUCUCAGACCUAAUCCUUCUGAGUCAGUUCAUUGUAUGUUGAUCUGUUGGGUUCUGAAACUCCCCCACCAUGUUUAAGUCAGCCACUUGCUGUUUUUUGCUUCCUUAAGAGUAUGAUGGUGUUUAUUAUACUGUGGUCACUCCUGGAGCCAGACCAAGUAAUCUUCCCAAGUUGGCUUGACCCAUGAUCGUACCUUCCACUCCAGGCUUUUCUUUGCUGGAUGUGAUUUUACAGUUUUGUGGGGAGUUUCCACUGUUUCUCAUUUUGCUGGGCAUUUUUAUUGCCUGGCUGAGCUUUCUUUUCAGGAUGUCUUUUUCUUUUCUUUUUUUCUCUCCUUCUCGAUGUAUCACGAAACUUCAUGGUGUCUAGUCUAACCAGUAAUGGCCAGAGUGUAAUCUUAGGGAAGCGACUGAGGCUGAGCCUAGAGAGGGGGCCCUUUCAUUAUACUCAACACUUUAAUUUAUCUACGUAAACCUAACCCAUCCUAAAGUUACUUGCUAUGUACAUAAUAGUGAAGAGUUCACUGGACACAUGCCAAAAUGCACAUGUCCACUGAUAUAUGUAUUUUAAUUUGUAUCAUCACUUAACUAAAGACUUCAUAAAAGCUUCUAUCCUGUUACAACUGCUAUUACUGCACUUGUGUAGAUCAGUUUUUUCUGGGUACAGUACUGUGUUUUUUUUUUUUUUUUUGCUUCUGCAGUGUUCUAGAUUUCUGAAAUAAAUAUAUUCAUACAUGUUAUAAAACAGUUUCUUGACUUUCACAUCAUUUUCUAAGUGUUGAAUACCUGCCUGACUAAUGAUAAAUUGUUUGUGCCAAAAAUUAAAAAAAAAUUAUGUAUUUACAUGUUAAAGGAAAGGUAGUAUGCUGGUUGUGUUAUGCACUUGUUGAAAAAUUAUUCACAAAUAGUAUAUUUUUUGUAAAUUUAGCCUCCGUCUGGCAUUUGGUCUAAUCACAAAAGAACAAUUAAAGAAGUACAGUACUAGAUCAAAAUUCUUAAACCAUUUUAGUGGUUAAUCUGAUUGGAAAACAUGUUUAAGUAAUGCACCUUCAGUAGAAACCUGCUCAAAUGGAAGGAUGGCCCAGGUUAUAAAGUCAGUUGUAAUGGAAUAAAUUGGUAGACUGAAUCACUCAUUUUCUUUACCAGAAUGUAGUGUCCGAUGCAUACAAUGCAGGUGAACCUUACUUAACAUCAGGGUUAGGUUCCUGAAAACUGCAGCUUUAACUGAAAUUAUGGUUGUGCGAGGGCCUUACCUGUACUUCUGAAGAAUGUGGAUUGACGUCCAGAACUUCAUUCUUCGGUUGGAAGGUCUCUUAAAUUGCAGAAAUGGGUGUAAGGCGUGGAAACCUACAUGUCAAUGUUCGCGAAUGAUGCAAAAUUAAUGAAGUUGACAGAUGAUGAUUGUAGGAUCCUCCAAGAGGACCUGGACAGGUUCCAGAUAUGCAGAGACAUGGCUACUAGGUUCAACAAGAGUAAAUUUUAAAGGUGCUUAGGGAUCUUCAGUGAUAGCAUCCAGGAACAUUAGUUUACCACAACCUGAAAAUGUAAAUACUUAAUGAAAUCAAAUACUGUACAAUGUAUACCCUUAAUAUUUUAAUAAAUUUGUAAAUGGCAAA